UCCACGUUUAUUGCCUUACUCUCAUCCUUAUCUCUCUUUGAUAAAUCUCGCCUAUUUUUCUUCAUGAUCAUUCAUUUCUCUGCUUCUCCGUAUUCUUCAAUCGACGAAGCCUCUUUAUUUCUGCGGUUGUAAGGCCUAUUCUGGACUUUUUUGAAUCAUCUAAGCAAAUUCCAGCAUCUGCUCUAAGCAAUGUAUUUGGGCCAUUUCUGCAAGCCCAAAACCACCAGCCCAAUUCCAGCUGGAUGUAGAUGAGCUACCUUAAGCCCUAUCUUGGUUGUUUAAGGUCGAUGGACCUAAUUUGGUUCUCACACCAGAUCUGGAAUUCUGAAACCAUGUUCGAAUAAGACAUGUACGUGACCUGUAUCUUUUCCUGAUCAAGAACGAUAUAGAUCAACAUGUGAUAUUUAUUAAUACAAUGAAUGUCACUAGAGCAGCGUAUGAUGAGAUAGAAAUAUACUUCCAAGCAAGUCCAUACUUACGUUUGCUUCCAUAUCGAUCAAAGAAAAAGUUCUAUGUUACUGCUAUAGUUUUA